AUAAACAGAACGGAGCAUCGGCCGAUCGUGUGCCAGCAGCCGCGGGAAUACACGAGAUGCCAGUUUAAGGCGGAGAUUCGGCGACGGCGUUUGUCCAUAGCGAAUGCGUCGGCCACCGCUUAAUGCGUUGAAGGAGGGGUCAAAUCCGUCGAUCUCUCGCAGAAAGCUUCGCGGUGAAAACAGCGGUGCAGGCGCAUCGCGCGGUCACAAAACGAGAGCUGCGGUCGCGAGGCGGAUUAGAUACCCGCGUAGUCACAGCCGUAAAUCCUUUCAGGCGAAAGCGCCUAGCGAUAUUGCCCACGGCACUAAACCAGAGGAUCUGACAGCUUGAACUCGGCGCGGUGGAGCCUACCCUUUAAUUUGACACCACGCAGAAAUCUUACCACGAUAAAA
rnacentral:rRNA from 1 species